rnacentral:SRP_RNA from 1 species
GCCGGGCAUGGUGGUGCACGCCUGUAAUCUCAGCUACUUGGGAGGCUGAGGCAGGAGAAUCGCUUGAGCCUGGGAAGUGGAGGUUGCAGUGAGCCAAGAUCGUGCCACUGCACUCCAGCCUGAGCAAUAGAGCGAGACUCUGUCUCAA